rnacentral:siRNA from 1 species
AGGUACUUUCAUGUUGCUCGAGAC